rnacentral:lncRNA from 1 species
GGGGGGGGGGGUGUGCAGAGAUUGGGGAAAAAAAAGCAAAUGCUUGGCAGAUGGAAAGAACAAAAAACUGGUAUAAGAAACAGAAGCAGGUUCCUAUCAGAACCAUCUUCUGCAAUUUCAUCAUACUGUUAUAGAAAUGGCGUAGCCCCUGAGGAGUUAGAAAUCACCCAAGAGUUUCAAAGCAGCAAGAACCCAGCCCUCCCUUGCCACUCCACAGAAGGAAGAGCUCCAAACACUUCCUGGUAUCUCUCAUACAGGACUUGGACUUUCCCUGUGAAGUCCCGUCCAUCACAGGACUUUCUCUGGGAAAAUCCAGCAUCAACUCUCUUGGAAGCAGCAGUGGAAGUAAAUGUGCAAAUGCUCGGCAAUCCUCCCACCCAAAGCCUCCCAUGGGAGUCAAGGGGGAAGCAAGGCUCCUAGUACAUCCACAUAAAAACAGAACCAAGAAUCUGCUGACAAAUUGUAAAUACAGGUUACUGAGACUGGGGAUUUCAAAGAGAAAAAGAAUCCAGUCAGGAGGAAGACCACCAUCUUUCCUUACUGACUUACCAUCAGUAUCACUUCCUAAAGCACUGCUCUAACCAGUAACAUUGCCUCAUCCCUUGCUUUCACCAUUUAUAUAGUGGAGCAGACAAACUCCUCAGAUUUUAUGAACAACUGAAGAUUCCUUCCACUGGAAGAUGAAUCUUUCAUUGUUAUUUCUUCCUGACUACCACAAAUAUAUCAAUUUCAGUUUGAGCAAAGAUGGAAAUAAAAUAUAAUAGAUCUG